rnacentral:tRNA from 1 species
GGAAACAUAGUUCAAUGGCAGAACGGUCGCUUGUUAAGCGGCGAAUGAAUGUUCGAAUCAUUCUGUUUUCG